rnacentral:rRNA from 1 species
UACGUAGGGGGCAAGCGUUGUCCGGAUUUAUUGGGCGUAAAGAGCGUGUAGGCGGCCAUUCAGGUCAGCUGUGAAAACUCGAGGCUCAACCUCGAGACGUCGGUUGAAACCGUUUGGCUAGAGUCCGGAAGAGGAGAGUGGAAUUCCCGGUGUAGCGGUGAAAUGCGCAGAUAUCGGGAAGAACACCCGUGGCGAAGGCGGCUCUCUGGGACGGUACUGACGCUGAGACGCGAAAAGCGUGGGGAGCGAACAGG